rnacentral:rRNA from 1 species
CAGUAGCCGCGGGAAUACGGAGGGAGCUAGCGUUGUUCGGAAUUACUGGGCGUAAAGCGCGCGUAGGCGGUUACUCAAGUCAGAGGUGAAAGCCAGGGGCUCAACCCCGGAACUGCCUUUGAAACUAGGUGACUAGAAUCUUGGAGAGGUCAGUGGAAUUCCGAGUGUAGAGGUGAAAUUCGUAGAUAUUCGGAAGAACACCAGUGGCGAAGGCGACUGACUGGACAAGUAUUGACGCUGAGGUGCGAAAGCGUGGGGAGCAAACAGGAUUAGAGACCCCCGUAGUCCCUGUCUCUUAUAC